AUUGAACGCUGGCGGCAGGCCUAACACAUGCAAGUCGAACGAGUGGCGGACGGGUGAGUAAUGUCUGGGAAACUGCCUGAUGGAGGGGGAUAACUACUGGAAACGGUAGCUAAUACCGCAUACCAUCGGAUGUGCCCAGAUGGGAUUAGCUAGUAGGUGGGGUAAAGGCUCACCUAGGCGACGAUCCCUAGCUGGUCGGAGGGGAGGACCAGCCAAACUGAACCUGAGACACGGUCCGGACUCCUACGGAGGGCAGCAGGGGGAAAUAUUGAACAAUGGGCGCAAGCCUGAUGCACCCAUGCCGGGUGUAUGAAGAGGGCCUUCGGGUUGUAAAGUACUUUCAGCGGGGAGGCGUUACCCGCAGAAGAAGCACCGGCUAACUCCGUGCCAGCGGCCGCGUAAUUC
rnacentral:rRNA from 1 species